rnacentral:lncRNA from 1 species
GAGGUACUUGUAGGAGAGGACACAGAGGAAGCUUCUGUUUCUGCCUGGGGAUAUCAGGGAAGACCUGAGUAGGAGCUCACCAGAUAGACAAAGCAUGGAACAGCAUCUCUGCAUUGGGAACAGCAUGUACAAAGUACACUGGGAACAGCAUGUACAGAGGAGAUAAGAACGAGUGUGGCUUCUUUAAAGAAUUAUAAGUAGUCCAUACCAUAUGCAGAAUAUUUGUGUCAGGGUAAAAGAUGUGACAGAUCUUGAAGGGCCUUCCAUACUGUGCCAAGAAGUUUGGAUGAUUUCUGCAGACAGCUGAGAAUCACAAAAAUGGGGACUCUUUAAGGGGAGAAGCAUGAACAGGUUGGCAUUUUUAAAUGAACGCUCUGGCUGCCACGUGUGGGAUGAAUUAGAGGAAGGCAAGACAAGGAGGCAAGGGAAUUUUAGAAAAUUAAUGAAACAGGACAAGCAAGAAAUGAUAAGGCGGUGCAAUGGGUAUAGAGCGAGCCAGGAUAACACGGACAGUUUGAUGUCCUACUGCUUCAGAGUGCUGGUGAAAGGAAGAAGUUCAAGGUGACUCUUAAGUUUCUGACUUGGGGAAUCAGUUGUGUGUUGGUGCUUAACCUAAAUACAGAGCAGUUUGGGGAGGAAAAAAGUGUGUUGGGAUUCAACAUGGGAGGGCCAUUUCAAUGAUGGAAGGAGCAAAGUCAAGAGCUGGAAAUAUAUGCUUGAGAAUUCUCAUCUUGUGGAUGGUAUUCGAAUCCCCAAGUGUAGAUAAGCUUGUCUGGAAAAGCAUAGAGUAGGAAGAGAAAGAUAACAAGGACAACACCAGAAUGGCCAAUAUUUAAGAGUAAGAAGAAAAGAAGCUGGCAAAGGGAAAUAAGAAAGUGGUAUGAAAACAGGAGGAACCCAAGAGAGAGUGUGGUCAUGGAAGUUCACAGAAGCAAGUGUCAAGUGUCCCUGAGAAGUCAAGGAGGACAUGGAAAAGGACACAAUGAAUCUGGAGAUAAGAAAAUGCAUUUAUUUGUCCAAGUCAGUGAAUAUGCAUGAAGCACCCAUUAGGUGCAUCUCCUAUUCAAGGCACUGGGGAUAAAGCAGUGAACAAAAUAGAAAAUAAAAAUCCUGGCCGGGCGCGGUGGCUCACGCCUGUAAUCUCAGCACUUUGGGAGACCGAGGCGGGCAGAUCAUGAGUUCAAGAGAUCGAGACCAUCCUGGAUAACACGGUGAAACCACGUCUCUGCUAAAAAUACCCAAAAUUAGCCGGGUAUGGUGGUGGGUGCCUGUAGUCCCAGCUA